rnacentral:rRNA from 1 species
CCUACGGGUGGCAGCAGUGAGGAAUAUUGGUCAAUGGGCGCGAGCCUGAACCAGCCAAGUAGCGUGAAGGAAGACUGCCCAACGGGUGGUAAACUUCUUUUAUAAAGGAAUAAAGUGAGGCACGGGUGCCUUGUUGUAUGUACUUUAUGAAUAAGGAUCGGCUAACUCCGUGCCAGCAGCCGCGGUAAUACGGAGGAUCCGAGGGUUAUCCGGAUUUAUUGGGUUUAAAGGGAGCGUAGAUGGGUUGUUAAGUCAGUUGUGAAAGAUUGCGGCUCAACCGUAAAAUUGCAAUUGAGACUGGCAGCCUUGAGUACAGUUGAGGUAGGCGGAAUUCGUGGUGUAGCGGUGAAAUGCUUAGAUAUCACGAAGAACUCCGAUUGCGAAGGCAGCUUACUAAACUGCCACUGACAUUGAUGCUCGAAAGUGUGGGUAUCAAACAGGAUUAGAUACCCGGGUAGUC